ACGAACGCUGGCGGCAUGCCUAACACAUGCAAGUCGAACGGAGAUAUUUGGAAGCUUGCUUUUGGAUAUCUUAGUGGCGGACGGGCGAGUAACGCGUGAGCAACCUGGCCUUCAGAGUGGAACAACGUCUGGAAACGGGCGCUAAUACCGCAUAAUACAAGAGAGUCGCAUGGCUUUUUUGUCAAAGGAGAAAUCCGCUGAAGGAUGGGCUCGCGUCCGAUUAGCUAGAUGGUGUGGUAACGGCACACCAUGGCGACGAUCGGUAGCCGAACUGAGAGGUUGAUCGGCCGCAUUGGGACUGAGACACGGCCCAGACUCCUACGGGAGGCAGCAGUGGGGGAUAUUGGUCAAUGGGGGAAACCCUGAACCAGCAAUGCCGCGUGAGGGAAGAAGGUCUUCGGAUUGUAAACCUAAGUAGUCAGGGACGAAAGAAAUGACGGUACCUGAAGAGUAAGCUCCGGCUAACUACGUGCCAGCAGCCGCGGUAAUACGUAGGGAGCGAGCGUUGUCCGGAUUUACUGGGUGUAAAGGGUGCGUAGGCGGGAUGGCAAGUCAGAUGUGAAAUACCGGGGCUUAACUCCGGGGCUGCAUUUGAAACUGUCGUUCUUGAGUGAAGUAGAGGCAGGCGGAAUUCCUAGUGUAGCGGUGAAAUGCGUAGAUAUUAGGAGGAACACCAGUGGCGAAGGCGGCCUGCUGGGCUUUAACUGACGCUGAGGCACGAAAGCAUGGGGAGCAAACAGGAUUAGAUACCCUGGUAGUCCAUGCCGUAAACGAUGAUUGCUAGGUGUGGGGGGACUGACCCCCUCCGUGCCGGAGUAAACACAAUAAGCAAUCCACCUGGGGAGUACGACCGCAAGGUUGAAACUCAAAGGAAUUGACGGGGGCCCGCACAAGCAGUGGAGUAUGUGGUUUAAUUCGACGCAACGCGAAGAACCUUACCAGGUCUUGACAUCGAUCUAAAGGCUCCAGAGAUGGAGAGAUAGCUAUAGAGAAGACAGGUGGUGCAUGGUUGUCGUCAGCUCGUGUCGUGAGAUGUUGGGUUAAGUCCCGCAACGAGCGCAACCCUUGCUAUUAGUUGCUACGCAAGAGCACUCUAAUAGGACUGCCGUUGACAAAACGGAGGAAGGUGGGGACGACGUCAAAUCAUCAUGCCCCUUAUGACCUGGGCUACACACGUACUACAAUGGCCGUUAACAAAGGGAAGCAAAGCCGCGAGGCGGAGCAAAACCCCAAAAACGGUCCCAGUUCAGAUUGCAGGCUGCAACUCGCCUGUAUGAAGUUGGAAUUGCUAGUAAUCGCGGAUCAGCAUGCCGCGGUGAAUACGUUCCCGGGCCUUGUACACACCGCCCGUCACACCAUGGGAGCCGGUAAUACCCGAAGUCAGUAGCCUAACCGCAAGGAGGGCGCUGCCGAAGGUAGGAUUGGCGACUGGGGUG
rnacentral:rRNA from 1 species